GACGAACGCUGGCGGCGUGCUUAACACAUGCAAGUCGAGCGAGAAAAUUUCGACAGGUCGCUUCGGGGUGAGGAUGAAGUGGGAUAGCGGCGGACGGGUGGGAAUAACGUGCGUAACGUGGCUUUAACAUUGGGAUAGCUUCGCGAAACAGGGAUUAAUACCAAAUGACUCUGCCUGAGCACAUGAUCAUUGAGUAAAAGGUAUUCGGUCAAAGAUGGGCUCGCGGCUGAUUAGCUAGUUGGUAGGGUAACGGCCAACCAAGGCGACGAUCGGUAGCCGGCCUGAGAGGGUGAUCGGCCACACUGGAACUGAGACACGGCCCAAACUCCUACGGGAGGCAGCAGUGGGGAAUAUUGCACAAUGGGGGAAAGCCUGAUGCAGCGACGCCGCGUGAGUGAAGAAGGCCUUCGGGUCGUAAAGCUCUUUUAUGCGGGAAGAUAAUGACGGUACCGCAAGAAUAAGCUCCGGCUAACUCCGUG
rnacentral:rRNA from 1 species